rnacentral:rRNA from 1 species
AAUGACGCUAGCAGCAGGCCUACACAUGCAAGUCGAGCGGCAGCGGGAAGUAGCUGCUACUUUUGCCGCGAGCGCGACGGUGAGUAUGCCUGGGAAUGCCCAGUCGAGGGGGAUACAGUGGGAAACGACUGCUAUACGCAUACGCCCCUACGGGGGGAAGCAGGACUCGGGCUGCCAUGAUUGCCAGUGGAUAGCUAGUGUAGUAUGCCCCCAGGGCACAUCCUGCUGUUGAAGAUAUACCCCCUGGACGAACCGGUCAACUCUACGGAGCACACUGGGAUUUGCCCAUGGGGAACCCGAUCCCCCUUCCGUGUGUUAGAAGCCUUCGGUUUUAGCACCUCGCAGAGAAAGUUAUUCUAUCUAUCACGUACUAUCCCAAAACCGCUACUCGGCAAGCCGUAUUGAGGUCGCCUAUUGANUUGGCUAGCCCCGCGGUGAUAUUUUUAGUAACCCGGCCACUGGAUUCUUUACGUCCCUAUUUUUAAGGGUUAUCGGGUUCGAAAUCUAAUUUGAAUCCGGCAGGGCCGCAAAAACCGGUUACGGGACGAAGUUAAAAAAAUGGGGGGCCCCUUUUUUUUC